rnacentral:lncRNA from 1 species
UGAAAGAAACCUGCAACACAUACAUAAAACAAAACACUGUAACCACGAAGCUUAGUGAGUUCCCCAAAAUACCACACAUAACACAUAUUAGCCACUCGAGGCUAUAACUCUGUGGGUCCGUGGACCCUGCUCUGUGAACCCUCUGGUUCUAACUCUGUGAACCUUCCGGUUCUAACUCUAGGAACCCUCCGGUUCCAACUCCGAAAACAUGCACAACAUAAAUCACAUAGAAAUAAUGUAGUACAACACAUAACAUACAUAGCAUACAAAUACUCUAUCACAUAACUUUGGUUACCUACUCAAGGUAAAGUAUAGUGAGAAGACUCACCUGGCAAGCAAAAAGCAGAUAUCCCCACACUUGAAUCACGAACUCGCCACCGCCUAACACGUAAGGCAUAUACUCUUAUGAAUAUAACUCUCGAGACUAGAAUCAACCCUCUCAUGGCACCCUCUUAAGGGUAAAAGACUAUUUUACCCCUCUCUUGGCCCAAAGGCCACAUCGCUGACCAAGCCCUAAAAGUCAACGGUCAACUCUUGGUCAAAGUCAAAGUCCUCAGUCAAAGUCAACCCUCCUGGUUGACCCUGCUCGCCGAGUCAACCCGUCGACUCGUCGAGUCCCCAUGCUCAGAACUUCCCCAAUCCGCGACUCAACUCGCCGAGUCACCCCGAGACUCGCCGAGUCCCACAACUCUGAGUCCACUCGCACACAACUCACCGAGUCAUCCCUUGACUCGCCGAUUCUCGACUCAACCAGAAAAUAUUGGGACUCUUCGACAAGACUCGCCGAGUCCAAGAACAGACUCGCCGAGUCUAAGGCUAUCUUCAACCUACUCGCCGAGUUGUGCAUACAACUCGCCGAGUUCCAGGCCAUCUUCAUCCAACUCGCCGAGUUGUUCUUCCAACUCGUCGAGUUCCAGCUUAUCUUCAAGCAACUCAUCGAGUCCACCCAUGUGACUCGCUGAGUACCACCGGUCUGAAUCCAUACAGAAGCAAUCCAGACCAUGCAAUUGAUCCAAAACAUAGAUCUAGCCUCCUACAACUCAUCCAUCACGUAAAGUGGCAAACUUUACAUGAAUCCCAAGAGAUCUAUGCAUUUUGCACAUUGGGCUAGGGUUUGGGACAUGAUGGCUCCACAAAACAUUCCAACACAGGGACUUUCAUGCUCUCUGAUCCUUCUCCAUUCCAGAUCUGAGGUAGCAACCUCAGAUCUAACCUCUAGAUUCCAAUUACAUCCAUAGACAAGUUCCCACAAACCCCAAAAUGAAGAAACAACAUAACAAAAGCCCAAGAACGAGAUAUUACCUCCAAGGAACGCCCCAAUUGCAAUGAAACUCGAAUCCAAGCAAAUCCCCUAGCUCCAAGCCUUCAAACUCCCAAAAUUCCUCAACAAACACCUCCUUCAAGCUCCUAAAUGAGAUAUGAUCUCUCACACACGAAGGCUAAGGGUUUCUGGAUUUGGGGAUGAAUAAAGAGGCUGAGAGUGGGCUGUUAUGUUCCUUAUAUAGGGCUCAACCCCGGGAAUUAGGGUUUUCUCCACUCAGCGCCUACUCGCCGAGCCCUCCUUACUGACUCGCCGAGUCGGCUACUUAACACGCGACCCAGUCGCCACUCUACUCGCCGAGUCCAACCAUGGACUCGCUGAGUCAGUCUUUCCCAACUUACUCUUUUAGCCCUUCUACUCUACUCUUGAUAUUUCGGGAUGUUACAAUUCUCCCCGACUUAAAUUAGGCUUCGUCCUCGAAGCCUACAGCAACUCAACUCCAGAAAUACUCCCAUAAUGUGCCACCUGGCCUUAAUCAGACCAGGUCCAACAAGGCAUACCCAUUGAAACUCGAACACACUUUCCCUUCCCUUACGGUGUCCUGACCACCGUCUCGAACCGGGCACCGGCUGUACCCUCUGAGAAUCACACUCAACAAUCAAGAAUUACCCAUGAAGCAUCACUGCCCCAAAUCUCAACAAUCACUCGACCCAUAAGGCUAGAAAGCCAUGAACCAUCGGAUCCCCGAUCCGAAUCCCACUCUAUCCAUUCCGUGAUGACGGAAAGACCCAUUCUCAAUCUCAGAGCAACUCCCACGAGUUCUCCUCUUGCAAUCACAUACGCAUGCUGAACUUGCUCCAGCACCCUCAGGUUGGGAAAACCCGAUACACUGAUGAUAUACUCCAACAUCCCCCAGGAUGAACCACUAGCACAUAUCCAAUACCCUGAUCAGAAUCAAGCUGGGAGUCCCAGACUCCCUCCCUGCAUCCAUCCUGAGACUCUUGGCUCUACACCCGCGGAAUCCCUUCCGCGUCCUCAGCAGACAUCCCAUCAUGAUGUCAUUCCAUACCACUGUCACAGACACAAUGCUCAACCACCAUACUCCAAAUCAUCCAUUCUCACUACUACAUUCACUUCCAGGAACCAACACUUUCCCCACCCCCCUGAGGGGGGUUACAUACCUUCAGGGAAAUCCACUUGCCAACCUUGCCACUACUCCAUGUAUCGCACAUGCUAUGGAUCUGCUCGCAAGGACUCUCGGGUCCAUGCGCUACCUCUCCCCAGCAAAUGAGGGUCCGACCCCUCCUCCCAUACAACAGCUCAAAGGGUGGCAUACCAAUGCACUAAUGAUGGCUGUUGAUAUAGGAUAACUCAACCAAGGAUAAAUACGUGCCGCAACUCCCUCCGAAAUCUAAUACACAUGCCCGAAGCAUGUCUUCAAGCGUCUGAAUCGUUCGCUCGCUCUGAAGUGUCCUCAGCCAUCAUCAUGAUAAGCUCUAGCUCAUUUCUCAUAUCCCUCUUCGAGACUGAGCACCAGGUCAGCUUUUUGACUCCACAGCUGAGCCUCCGAAGGUCACCCAUAUCAUGAUCCAAAUAUCCCACUAAAAUCCUCCCCGUGACCACUAUCCCGGCCCAGUGACACGCAAGUCACAAAAUUCUCUUUUCAUCAUGCGAGAAAAAUACAAUCCAACCGAAGAUCGUCUCAACUCUGAUCUUUGGUUUCUGCUGUGCAUAUCCCUUGCGCAUCUCGCUGCAUCUCCUGACAGAGACGGAGACCACAGUCUCGCCCCCGGUUCAACACCCAGGCUCCAAAACUCAGUACUAGGGCUACUCAAGCCCAAAACUCUUCCACAUCAUACACUGAUCGGAGAACAUUCCAUCAUCACAUUCUCUUGCCAUCUAGUGAGUACUACGGCUCCCCGCAGUAUCACGACACCCUCUGACUAGUGAGUACUACGGCUCCCCGUAGUAUCACAACACCCUCUGACUAGUGAGUACUACGGCUCCCUGCAGUAUCACAACACCCUCUGACCCCACUAGCUCAUGCUCCGCAGACUAUCAUAGGCAGCUACCCAUACUCGGCUCGAAUAUGCGUCACAGACUCUAAAGACAAUCGACAUAUCAAAUGCCCACCCUUACGAAGAUCCACUUCCUUAAAUAAUCUCCCUGGAUGCACAUACUCGAAGGGCUCCCACUAGAUCCAUAGAUACCUGAUAUACCACAAGUAACCCCGAAAUAAAGAUAUCAUACCCGGAUACCUCGGAAUAUCCCAACAGAAUCAUCACAAGAUCCUGCCACAACCACUGAUCUCCUGCCCCCAAGCAUCAUAUAGAUACAAUAAUACAUUUUUCCCAAAAUGCAACUUCGAUGUAUCCAAUUUCUCAAUUGGAAUACCAGAAAACGCUAGCGCUACGAAAUACGCUGAUAAUUCUCAGAAACCCUUUUUCCCAUCGCUCAAAAUCAAAGCAAGGAUACGCAUACCGACCCGGGAGUUGGUUGCCCAAUCAUUCUCUAACAACACUGACCACUACCAGGUUCCUGACCAUUAAACACCUGCCGUGGAGACAUUCAUCCUUCUCAAACAAGUACUUCCCGCAGAUCUCUAUACUCCACUUAUAACUGCUCUUGGCAAAUCUCUGCUUUAUUACAUACGGUUCCCGGUUCUCCCCCACUCAGGGUUCGAACCAUCACCAAUUAGCACACAACCAACCCACAACUAUUUUCACCUGCAAAAUCACACCUGUCCUUGGAAAGUGCUACACAACGCCCGAUAAUCCCCUUUAAGGAAAUCAAUCGACCUCAUAUACUCUGAACCUCUGAUGGACUCCUCAAGAACUUCUCGACACGANCACUCCCAUAUUCAAUACCCAACAUAGAUAGAAAACUCUCUGCACUGCUAAACUCGACUGAACUCCCCACUGAUACCACUACAAUACAUCCUACUAUACUCAAAUAGGUGUAAUGUGGUCCUCGACUAUCUCAGUCCCAACUGACUAUCUGAUCAUGAUAAAUCACUGCCUCGCGGCACACAUGCUACCUGAUACUCUGGUGGGAAAUCAUCAUCAAUGACGACCUGCAGGGUUUUACCCCCAAACCCAAAACUUAAACAUCAUGCUUCUCAUAUUUUGCACACGAACAUAAUCAGUACCACCCAUAUCAUAGAAGGUGACAUCUCCUUUAUCGACUGAUCGCUCAACUCAGAUCGAAAUUCUCCCUUCUCACUGACUCCUUACUAAAAUACUCUGGGAGGCUCUCGAUCUCCCUCUCAAGGGACGCCUCUUCGAACUUAAACAUGACCGGAUAGCCGGAGAACCACAAGCAUCAUUCCCUAUGAACCAUGGUAGUCAUUCCAUGACAUCUCUUCUCAAUAUGCUCCGGCGUACGGUACUCGAACCGUAACAUCACUCCUUAGUCCGCUCCGAUGUAUGGUACCCGAACCGUAACAUCACUCCUCAAUCCGCUCCGAUGUAUGGUACCCGAACCAUAACAUUACUCAUCAAUCCGCUCCGAUGUAUGGUACCCGAACCAUAACAUCACUCCUCAAUCCGCUCCGAUGUAUGGUACUCGAACCAUAACAUCACUCCUCAAUCCGCUCCGAUGCAUGGUACUCGAACCAUAACAUCACUCCUCAAUCCGCUCCGAUGUAUGGUACUCGAACCAUAACAUCAUUCAUCAAUCCGCUCCUUAGAACCUCCAGAAUACUCCCUGUAUCAAGUAUGGGCCCUCUGCUUUCAGUAGUACGGGCCCAUACUAUCUACCACAUCUACCCAUACUUUCCACACGGACCAUCCCAGAGCUCCUAAGUAGCUGCUCGACCUGCUCUUUCACCAAUCCCAUCGCGCGUGCUCGCUCCCCAACGAAAUUCUCUACCCUACCAGCGCACUUAUCUGGCUAUGGUUACUCCCUAGGCUCUUCCUUGGUCCUCCUACUUCUUUGCUAUCAGCUGCUGCAGAGCUCCUAAUGAUGCCAGCCAUCUACCUCCUAAAUAUCGUCAUAUUCACUCGGUAGCUGACUCCCAUCAUCGAGAGUUCCACAAAGCACAAAGCAAGCAGCAUUCAAGCAUCGAAGAAUACAUAGAACUCACUCUUGGUGAUAACUCCACUUUCUUGGCUCAUCCUCGAAAGUAUCACCAAACUCUGUAACUCUACCCCUCAUGGGUUCUAACUGGAUACUCUCACUCAUCACAUACUCAAAAGCAUAACACAUAUAACAACAAGUCCUAGGCUAAGGCAUCACAAAUCAGGCCACUCUAGUCCUAAGAUAUGAAAUACCUAGCCUGUCUCUAGCAUGCAAUAAUAUCUCAUAAGGUGCAUCAUAAAUAUCUCAUAACACAAAAGUAAGAGUAUUUUGGGAAAUCACCGUUCGGGCUCUAGCUGAUUAUACACACUGCUCUUUCUCACUUUCGCUUUGAACUCUUAUUCACUUUUAGAAAUUCAUUUCUUUUGAAAUCAUUUCUUACUUCCUCAGCUUGAGUCUAGAUUUACCCGAAGGCGCAUCCGAAUCCCUCAAACCAAGGCUCUGAUACCAACUUGUAACACCAAAAAUUUCAAACAAUUUUUCAUUUAAACAUAGUCGUGUAAUUCUUAGAAACACUUGUUUCAAAGCUCAUUAAUAAUCAAAUUACAAAACAUGACUCCAUUUUUACUUGUAUAGAAAACCAGGAUCCUCAAAACAUGACACUUUCUCUGGUGUGUACAAUCAAGCCGGUGCCGUCCCGUGAUCCUGAAAGAAACCUGCAACACAUACAUAAAACAAAACACUAUAAGCACAAAGCUUAGUGAGUUCCCUAAAAUACCACACAUAACACAUAUUAGCCACUCAAGGCUAUAGCUCUGUGGGUCCGUGGACCCUGCUCUGUGAACCCUCUGGUUCUAACUCUGUGAACCUUCUGGUUCUAACUCUAGGAACCCUCCGGUUCCAACUCUGAAAACAUGCACAGCAUAAAUCACAUAGAAAUAAUGCAGUACAACACAUAACAUACAUAGCAUACAAAUACUCUGUCACAUAACUCUGGUUACCUACUCAAGGUAAAGUAUAGUGAGAAGACUCACCUGGCAAGCAGAAAGCAGAUAUCCCCACACUUGAAUCUCGAACUCGCCACCGCCUAACACGUAAGGCAUAUACUCUCAUGAAUAUAACUCUCGAGACUAGAAUC